rnacentral:tRNA from 1 species
AUAAGAGUAGCCUAGUGGACAUGGCAUCUGCUCGGUAAGCGGAACACUGUGGGUUCGAUUCCCAUCCCUGGACACUUUUAUU